ACGGGGAUACCCCUGGGAAACCAGGGCUAAGACCGCGUACGCUCUCUCUUGGGAGUGAGGGAGAGGAGAGGAUAGCGCGAGGAGUGCUAUCUGGCCUGUGCGGGGCGUGCGUCCGAUUAGCUAGUUGGAGGGGUAAGAGCCCACCAAGGCGACGAUCGGUCGCUGGUCUGAGAGGAUGAUCAGCCACACUGGGACUGAGAGACGGCCCAG
rnacentral:rRNA from 1 species